rfam:Triticum aestivum genome assembly, contig: Triticum_aestivum_CS42_TGACv1_scaffold_404986_5BL
AAAGUACUCCCUCCGUCCCAAAAUUCUUAUCUUAGAUUUGUCUAGAUAUGGAUGUACACAUUUUAGUAUUAGAUACAUCCAUAUAUAGACAAAUCUAACACAAGAAUUUUGGGACAGAGGGAGUAGUUG